rnacentral:rRNA from 1 species
UACGUAGGGGGCAAGCGUUGUCCGGAAUUACUGGGCGUAAAGCGCACGUAGGCGGAUAUUUAAGUCAGGGGUGAAAUCCCAGAGCUCAACUCUGGAACUGCCUUUGAUACUGGGUAUCUCGAGCAUGGAAGAGGUGAGUGGAAUUCCGAGUGUAGAGGUGAAAUUCGUAGAUAUUCGGAGGAACACCAGUGGCGAAGGCGGCUCACUGGUCCAUUACUGACGCUGAGGUGCGAAAGCGUGGGGAGCAAACAGG